rnacentral:rRNA from 1 species
AUGUUCGUCGUCCAGAAAGCACUCGGCGUUGGGGCUAUGAGUUUGGCUGAUGAACAGGAGUUCGCAAGUGCACCUCUCGCCACAGAUAGGCGCAGCAAAAUCUUUCCUCCCGCCAGCCCUCCAUCUUACUCCGAGUCCAAGACCAAGCCCACCUCCAUAAUGGCAGAGCCCUACGAGAUCCGUGCUGCCAUGAUCGCUGAAUCCGAGAAAAGGUCGUAUGUGCUCAAGAUAGACGGAUACUCAAUGGCCAACGCGCUGCUCAAGAACGGGGAGUGCAUGACUUCCGCCCCGUUCAGCGUUGGAGGCCACAACUGGGUCGUGAGAUAUUACCCCAACGGCUAUCCUAAGCACUGUGACAAUUAUAUCUCUCUCUAUGUACAGCUUGAAGCUGCCGAUGCCGAUGCCGAGGACGUGAAGGCCAAGGCCAAAUUGAAGCUCAGCCUACUCGACAAGAAUGCAAAUCCGGUGCCUUGGUACUGCCGUACCAUCCCUCUACACACCUUCUCAAGGAGGGCUCCAGACCGUGGCUGCCAUGACUUCAUCUACAAGGCUGGCCUUGAGGUAUCGCCGCACCUUAGAGACGAUUGUCUCACCAUCAGGUGCGAUGUCACCGUCGUGAAGGACAUCGACCAAGAAGCAAGGAUUCCUCCAAGUGACCUGCACCGGCAUCUCGGGGAUCUCCUACAGAGCAAGGAUGGAGCGGACCUGACCUUUCAUGUCGGCGGACGGACAUUCCCGGCUCACAGGUGUGUCCUCGCUGCUCGGUCAUGCGUGUUCAAGGCGGAGCUCCUCGGUGCCAUGGCGGAGAGUUCCUCUAGUACUAUUGAAAUUCGUGACAUGGAACCUGAUGUGUUUGAGUACUUGCUCCAUUUCAUAUACACCGACUCGGUUCCUCUACUUGAUGUGGUGAUGGCCGGGCAUCUACUCGAAGCGGCUGACAGGUACGACAUCGGUAGGCUGAAGGUGAUAUGCGAGGAGAAAUUGUGCAGUCACAUUGAUUCCAACAUGGUGGCGACCAGCUUGGCUUUGGCCAAGCAGCAUGGUUUCCGUCGUCUCAAACAAGCGUGUUUGCAGUUCCUUGCUUCUCCCUCCAAUUUGAAUGCUACGAUAGCAAGUGAUGGCUUUGAGCAUCUGCUAUCCAGCUGCGGCUGGUCUGUUUUUGAGGAGCUGAGAGAUAGAACCAUCCGGCUGAAUCCUAAAAGGGAUAUUAUCACGACAUUCCGGAAGUAA